CUAUGGACUGAUCUGAAAAACUCAACAAUUCGACAGAAGAAGACAAAUUUGGAAAAAACUAAAGAACGAAGAAAUUUCGGGUUUGUAGUUUCCGAUAGCCAAAGUCUCGAUUCUGGCACCUCAUCUGAGGGUUCCUGACUUUGACUCGUCCACUUUGUCAUCGACCGUGGUAGGAGCGGGAGUGAUUGCUAGUUUAGAGUUUGGAUGAUCGUGAGGUGCUACAAAUCACCGUAAGAGUAGGCUAGUUAGUUUGGCAAGGUAGAAUCGUGGAUUGUUGGCGAAACAAGUCCAGACUAGUUGGCCAGGUACUCUAUCCGGCGUCUUCGAAAUCUGCUGCUGCGCUACAACCCAUCCGUUUCGAACGUCCGUCGGAGAAACCCGCCGUACCACACCCGGUGGCAAAAGACCCGACAAGUCGCCACGUGCCGG